rnacentral:rRNA from 1 species
CAUGCAAGUCGAACGGAAGUUUAAGCAAUUAAACUUUAGUGGCGAACGGGUGAGUAACGCGUAAGCAAUCUGCCCCUAAGACGAGGAUAACAGUUGGAAACUACUGCUAAGACUGGAUAGGAGACAAGAAGGCAUCUUCUUGUUUUUAAAAGACCUAGCAAUAGGUAUGCUUAGGGAGGAGCUUGCGUCACAUUAGUUAGUUGGUGGGGUAAAGGCCUACCAAGACUAUGAUGUGUAGCCGGGCUGAGAGGUUGAACGGCCACAUUGGGACUGAGACACGGCCCAAACUCCUACGGGAGGCAGCAGUAGGGAAUUUUCGGCAAUGGAGGAAACUCUGACCGAGCAACGCCGCGUGAACGAUGAAGUAUUUCGGUACGUAAAGUUCUUUUAUUAGGGAAGAAUAAAUGAUGGAAAAAUCAUUCUGACGUACCUAAUGAAUAAGCCCCGGCUAACUAUGUGCCAGCAGCCGCGGUAAUACAUAGGGGGCAAGCGUUAUCCGGAAUUAUUGGGCGUAAAGGGUGCGUAGCGGUUAAAUAAGUUUAUGGUCUAAGUGCAAUGCUCAACAUUGUGAUGCUAUAAAAACUGUUUAGCUAGAGUAAGAUAGAGCAAGUGGAAUUCAUUGUGUAGUGGUAAAAUGCGUAAAUAUAUGGAGACACCAGUAGCGAAGGCGGCUUGCUUGGUCUUUACUGACGCUUGAGGCACGAAGCGUGGGAAGCAAACAGGAUUAGAUACCCUGGUAGUCCACGCCGUAACGAUGAGUACUAACCGUUGGUAAACCAAGUGUUGAAGUUAACACAUUAAGUACUCCGCCUGAGUAGUACGUACGCAAGUAUGAAACUUAAAGGAAUUGACGGGACUCCGCACAAGCGGUGGAUCAUGUUGUUUAAUUCGAAGGUACCCGAAAACCUCACCAGGUCUUGACAUGCUUCUGCAAAGCUGUAGAAACACAGUGGAGGUUAUCAGUUGCACAGGUGGUGCAUGGUUGUCGUCAGCUCGUGUCGUGAGAUGUUGGGUUAAGUCCCGCAACGAGCGCAACCCUUAUUGUUAGUUACCAGCACGUAAUGGUGGGGACUUUAGCAAGACUGCCAGUGAUAAAUUGGAGGAAGGUGGGGACGACGUCAAAUCAUCAUGCCCCUUAUGACCUGGGCUACAAACGUGAUACAAUGGCUGUUACAAAGGGUAGCUGAAGCGCAAGUUUUUGGCGAAUCUCAAAAAAACAGUCUCAGUUCGGAUUGAAGUCUGCAACUCGACUUCAUGAAGUUGGAAUCGCUAGUAAUCGCGAAUCAGCAUGUCGCGGUGAAUACGUUCUCGGGGUUUGUACACACCGCCCGUCAAACCACGAAAGUUGGCAAUACCCAAAGCCGGCGGCCUAACUUCGCAAGAAGAGGGAACCGUCUAAGGUAGGGUCGAUGAUUGGGGUUAAG